rnacentral:lncRNA from 1 species
UUUGAUUGGUUGUCUAUUUUUCAAUUUUGCCUUUUUACUAUCCUCAUAAUGUUUGAUUAUAAAUGCAUGCAUUGAUUGAACGUGGAUUGUAAUAGUAUAGUGGCUGAAUGUUUGUAUGUCAAGCUUGGCCAACAGUGUAUCAUGAUGAUGCAGCUGAGUAGCCUGCUCCUACUGCCAAGGAAGCUGCUGAGGAAAAUUAUGUUUAUCAAGCAGUCUGCUGCUGGUGCCGAGGUAAACUGCCCUCGCUGUUGGGAGUCUGUCACUGCUACAUCGACUCCCACAUGCCAACUGGUAAUGGUUGUGGCUACUGGUAUGGUGUUGUCCUGAACCGGUGGCAUUUGCAUCAUCAUCUACUCAUACACCCACACCACGUCCUCCUCAUAGGCCUCGAUGAACAGCUGGAGCACUAUGGCGGCUAUGUUGAGCAACAAUUCCUCUCUUCGGAGGCUCAGAGGUCGAGGUUGAUGUCCAUCUAUUGAAGUAUAUUGGCUCCUAUGAGCUCCGUCGGUGGUGACGCUGGAUCCUUGUUGCGUGCCUGGUCCCAUUGGUUCCGAAGGCGUUUGGCGUAGAUAAUUCUUGCAUAAGUCCGUCUUGAUGCCAUACAUCCUCUGGUCAGGGAACGUUCUCGACUGGGAACUGAAAGACUUCCUCCUCAAAAGACUCGGCCAAGUAGCCGGAUAGGGGGAAGGUGGCUGGGCUCGACUAGUGGAGCCUUUGGUAGUGGAGCCCUUGGUGAGACGUCCUCACUUACUGCAAGAAAAAAAUCCAUAACAAAAGCACAAAAACACCACCCCAUACUUAUCUGAAUCAACAUAAGGCACAAUAUAAUAUAAAGGCACAAAUGGCAAUAAACCCAUCAACAUUGAGAUUUAACAUAAUCAAAAAGCACAAUCCACCGCCAAAUAGCAACAGGAAUAUCAAAUACAUCAUAUCAAGAGCAAGUUCAGCAAAACAAAGCGAUUUCAAACAAAGACGGCAAAACCAACGACUGAAAUUCAACAUUAUGCCAUCCAAAAGUCAAUCAAUGUGCAAAUCAUAUCACAACGUUCCUACCAUACUCAAUUUCAUCCCAGCACAUCCAAUUCCUGACCCCUAACUUUGAAAAAUUAGGACCAUCCUUUUAAUCUUUAAUCACACAAAUCGAUUCAGUUUGGACAAUGCAAGCAUAGGAAACGAUGCAGGAGGAUUCAGGGGCACAUACUUGACGUUAACCAUGGAAAAUAAUUGGGAAGAGCAAGCAAACUCGUCAAAGUUUGAGGAUGGGAGAAAAAUGGUGGAAAACUCGACCCAGCUUGCUUAACACAUUAAUGUUGGUCAGGAUAAGAUUGUCGUUUGGCGGCGAGCUAAGCUGCGGCGACGAGGCAGAAAGGAGGUAAAGUUGAUGGUGGUUCGCGGGUUUGGGAGGGAGAGUUAGAAGAGCUGGUAAAAAAUAAGAGAAU